rnacentral:sRNA from 1 species
AUUUUAGCACUCACCAGUUGAAAUCUGAAAGCGUGAAUCUAGUUUUUGCCUAAGGAGAGGAAAAGUAAAUAAUAACAUAGCUAGCAACAUGUCUACUAUUUCAUUUUUUUUUUGCGUUUCUAAACCAAUCAGAAGGCUCUAUUUCGUACCCACUCGCAGAAAGAGCGCGUUGAGCGAGUGAGAGCGAUUCUGUGGGUAAACCCCUUUCCAAUUCAUGCCUUUUUGUAUCGACGCAUUUCUCUCCAAAUUCUCUAUCGCGUGACUUUUUUUGUU